rnacentral:rRNA from 1 species
GAUGAACGCUGGCUACAGGCUUAACACAUGCAAGUCGAGGGGAAACGACGGGGAAGCUUGCUUCCUUGGGCGUCGACCGGCGCACGGGUGAGUAACGCGUAUCCAACCUGCCUCUGACUGAGGGAUAACCCGUCGAAAGUCGGCCUAAUACCUCAUGGCAUCGUCUGCGGGCAUCCAACGACGAUUAAAGAUUUCAUCGGUCAGGGAUGGGGAUGCGUCUGAUUAGCUUGUUGGCGGGGUAACGGCCCACCAAGGCUACGAUCAGUAGGGGUUCUGAGAGGAAGGUCCCCCACAUUGGAACUGAGACACGGUCCAAACUCCUACGGGAGGCAGCAGUGAGGAAUAUUGGUCAAUGGGCGAGAGCCUGAACCAGCCAAGUAGCGUGCAGGAUGACGGCCCUAUGGGUUGUAAACUGCUUUUAUGCGGGGAUAAAGUGAGGGACGUGUCCUUCAUUGCAGGUACCGCA